rnacentral:antisense_RNA from 1 species
CUUCACCCCUGGCUCUCGGCAAUGCUGCUCCUCUCUCCUGCAUGGAUCACCUGCUCCUGGAAUUCAUUCUCCCAUUUCUUAGGUUGCCACUUUACUGUAGCUUCCUAAUCAAAGAGUCUUGCUCUGUCACCCAGGCUGGAAUGCCGUGGCACAAUCUCGGCUCACUGCAACCUCCACCUCCUGGGUUCAAGUGAUUCUUCUGUCUCAGCCUCCUGAGUAGCUGGGACUACAGGAAGAGUGCACAGGAGCCUGGCACUCCUGGACCUGAGGAAACCCUGAAACUGUUGGUAUUUGCAGAUCCUCUCCAAAAAGAGUUCACCAAUCUCCUAAGACUGCAAACCUGACCCCAGCAUGCUGGGAGCCAAGAGGGUCUGCGGAUCUCCCUGCUUAGCAAAUUGUGUGUAUAUAUAUACACACACACAAUGAAAUACUAUUCAGCCUGAAAAGAAGAAAAUCCUGCCACUUAUGGCAACAGGGAUGAAUUUGAAGGACAUUAUGUUAAGUAAAAUAAACCAGA